UGGGGAAUCUUCCGCAAUGGGCGAAAGCCUGACGGAGCAACGCCGCGUGAGUGAUGACGGCCUUCGGGUUGUAAAACUCUGUGAUCCGGGACGAAAAGGCAGGGUGCGAAGAACAAACUGCAUUGACGGUACCGGAAAAGCAAGCCACGGCUAACUACGUGCCAGCAGCCGCGGUAAUACGUAGGUGGCAAGCGUUGUCCGGAAUUAUUGGGCGUAAAGCGCGCGCAGGCGGCUUCCCAAGUCCCUCUUAAAAGUGCGGGGCUUAACCCCGUGAUGGGAAGGAAACUGGGAAGCUGGAGUAUCGGAGAGGAAAGUGGAAUUCCUAGUGUAGCGGUGAAAUGCGUAGAGAUUAGGAAGAACACCGGUGGCGAAGGCGACUUUCUGGACGAAAACUGACGCUGAGGCGCGAAAGCGUGGGGAGCAAACAGG
rnacentral:rRNA from 1 species